rnacentral:rRNA from 1 species
GGCAAGUCUGGUGCCAGCAGGAGGGACUCCGCUCCAAUAGCGUAUAUAAAGUUGUUGCAGUUAAAAAGCUCGUAGUUGAAUUUCGGGGUUACUCUUCCUAAGACAAGCCUCCGGUAUGUACUGAUCUCACUGAUUCCUCCUUCCUUAUGAACCGUAAUGCCAUUAAUUUGGUGUUGCGGGGAAUUUGGACUGUUACUUUGAAAAAAUUAGAGUGUUUAAAGCAGGC